GAAACGGCGCAGCUGGGACUCUGUGCUGUGGCAGCCUAAGCGAACCUCUUCACGGGCUAAUGACAAUUGCAGGCAUUGUUGGGCUGUGUCCUAAGGUGAAUCAACAUAAAGAAAAGCCCUGGCUGCUCGUGCACUGAUAACUUCAUCUUUUCGGACAUCUGGGAACUACCGCCACAAUGUCUGGAAAAAAAAUGACUUCAAACUAAUGCAGCAGAGGCAAACCAUGGUUUGGCCAAAAAUGGAACAGAAUUUACAAGGGAAAAGGGAAGUUCCUGGAGUAAUAUGUGUAGGUCAGAUGAGGAUGGAACUGGUGAAUGAGCAGAAGAGAAGGUUGGAAGAGUGCAGUGGUGAUGACAGCCCUCCGCUGCUCCUUCCCCAGAGGAAGGAGCUCCAGAGGACGUUUGCUGAAACGUGAUCUAAACUCACUUCAAGAAGAAAAGUACAUGCCGGGAAUUGAAACCAAGAGCUUUCUUUCCAUCCUGGAGGCCCUUGGACCUCAUGGAAGGUGACUCCUUUGAGCUUUGUUGCAGGUCAGCCAUAGCCUAUGCAGUGUGCAAGGUGACACCUUCCUUAGGGGCUAGCGUCCCUUUCUGCUCCUUUCCCAGCCUGGACGUCCCCUGCUGUUCGCUUCGGUCUUUUUCGGCCUCCUCCCUGAUGUGGCUUUGUUCUGUCUUCUGCUUAAUGCCACAGGCUUUGGUUCCUGCCACCAAAUGAGCCCUCCUAUUGUUAAACUCUGAGUCUUUUUUUAGGCUAUGCCUGCCUCCUCUGCACCCUUUACUCUUAUUUUCAUUUUAUUGAUUGCCUAUGUGGUUUUUCUCCCAAAAAUCUGAAAGUGGUAUGGGAGUCAGUCUGCCUAGUUCUCUCUUCUUCCUUGUUUUCCCCAAGAUAACCGCAAAGUCCCUUUUGGUUUUAAGGGUUUACUGUUAAUAACUACAAAAAAGCCCAAACCUAGCAGUGACAAUAAAUACAGUGAAGUCACAAACUUAAAAAAUCCUUCAAAGUUUCUGUAGCAUUGGUCUCUAGGCUAUAAUUAUGGCUCCCCUUCAAGAUGGUAACUGAAAACUAUGUUUGAUUUCUGUUCCCUGUUUUUAUUUUUAAAACUGAAGCCCACUAAACCCUUCUGUCCCUAACACACAUACAUCGUCCACCCUUUAGUUAGCGCAUGAACCGUGUCCAUCCCUGAGGACCUUCCACACUAAGUGGUCUUCAUCUGUCUUGAACUCCACCUCAUGGCAAUGGGUCCUUUGGAUAUAAAUAUUUCAGCAAACAUUUAAUCUCUACCUAAGUUCCCAUCUUUAGGAUCCCAAUUUAAUUUGGUCCUUCAGCUUAUUUACACCAAGGGACUAAUAACUACUUUCUAUGUUACCUAUCUAGAGGCAUUUUCAUUUUCAAAAAUUGGGAGAGGAAAAUAAAUAAAGAAAAUACAGGAAUGACACUCUGGUUGGGGAUCCUUAGGCAUCACAGUCACAGGUGAGAAGAGAAACUGACCAAUACACUUGAAUUGUCCCAAGGCUAGGGAUGGAAAAAUACUAGCUCAGCUUUGUCUCUGUCCACUGUUAGAGGCUUU
rnacentral:lncRNA from 1 species